rnacentral:sRNA from 1 species
CAGCGACAGAGCGUCCGGAUUGCAAAAC